AGAGUUUGAUCCUGGCUCAGAUUGAACGCUAGCGGGAUGCCUUACACAUGCAAGUCGAACGGCAGCACGGACUUCGGUCUGGUGGCGAGUGGCGAACGGGUGAGUAAUGUAUCGGAACGUGCCUAGUAGCGGGGGAUAACUACGCGAAAGCGUAGCUAAUACCGCAUACGCCCUACGGGGGAAAGCAGGGGAUCGCAAGACCUUGCACUAUUAGAGCGGCCGAUAUCGGAUUAGCUAGUUGGUGGGGUAACGGCUCACCAAGGCGACGAUCCGUAGCUGGUUUGAGAGGACGACCAGCCACACUGGGACUGAGACACGGCCCAGACUCCUACGGGAGGCAGCAGUGGGGAAUUUUGGACAAUGGGGGAAACCCUGAUCCAUCCAUCCCGCGUGUGCGAUGAAGCGCCUUCGGNUUUGUAAAGCACUUUUGGCAGGAAAGAAACGUCAUGGGUUAAUACCCCGUGAAACUGACGGUACCUGCAGAAUAAGCACCGGCUAACUACGUGCCAGCAGCCGCGGUAAUACGUAGGGUGCAAGCGUUAAUCGGAAUUACUGGGCGUAAAGCGUGCGCAGGCGGUUCGGAAAGAAAGAUGUGAAAUCCCAGAGCUUAACUUUGGAACUGCAUUUUUAACUACCGAGCUAGAGUGUGUCAGAGGGAGGUGGAAUUCCGCGUGUAGCAAGUGAAAUGCGUAGAUAUGCGGAGGAACACCGAUGGCGAAGGCAGCACUCACUGGGAUAACACUGACGCUCAUGCACGAAAGCGUGGGGAAGCAAACAGGAUUAGAUACCCUGGUAGUCCACGCCCUAAACGAUGUCCACUAGNCUGUUGGGGCCUUCGGGCCUUGGUAGCGCAGCUAACGCGUGAAGUUGACCGCCUGGGGAGUACGGUCGCAAGAUUAAAACUCAAAGGAAUUGACGGGGACCCGCACAAGCGGUGGAUGAUGUGGAUUAAUUCGAUGCAACGCGAAAAACCUUACCUACCCCUUGACAUGUCUGGAAUUCCGAAGAGAUUUGGAAGUGCUCGCAAGAGAACCGGAACACAGGUGCUGCAUGGCUGUCGUCAGCUCGUGUCGUGAGAUGUUGGGUUAAGUCCCGCAACGAGCGCAACCCUUAUCAUUAGUUGCUACGAAAGGGCACUCUAAUGAGACUGCCGGUGACAAACCGGAGGAAGGUGGGGAUGACGUCAAGUCCUCAUGGCCCUUAUGGGUAGGGCUUCACACGUCAUACAAUGGUCGGGACAGAGGGUCGCCAACCCGCGAGGGGGAGCCAAUCCCAGAAACCCGAUCGUAGUCCGGAUCGCAGUCUGCAACUCGACUGCGUGAAGUCGGAAUCGCUAGUAAUCGCGGAUCAGCAUGUCGCGGUGAAUACGUUCCCGGGUCUUGUACACACCGCCCGUCACACCAUGGGAGUGGGUUUUACCAGAAGUAGUUAGCCUAACCGCAAGGGGGGCGAUUACCACGGUAGGAUUCAUGACUGGGGUGAAGUCGUAACAAGGUAACC
rnacentral:rRNA from 1 species